GCACCCUUGGGGAUUGUCAUUACAGCUACAGCGAGUGUCGUCUUCUUCGGGGAUGCUCUGAAUCUGGGAAUGUGAGGUUCUUCUGAUCUUUUGGAUUAUGUUUAUGAUUGAGUUGUUGAAAUCAUGUAAAUUCUUUAUAUAAUUCUAGCAAGUUAAACCCAAUUAAAUUCUUCUUUCCUGCCUUUGCAGUGUGAUUGGAGCUGUGAUAAUAGCCUCAGGAUUUUAUGCAGUGAU
rnacentral:lncRNA from 1 species